GACGAACGCUGGCGGCGUGCUUAACACAUGCAAGUCGAACGGAAAGGCCCCCAUCUUGGUGGGGGUGCUCGAGUGGCGAACGGGUGAGUAACACGUGGGUGAUCUGCCCUGUUCUGCUGGAUAAGCUUGGGAAACUGGGUCUAAUACCGGGUAGGCCUAUGGCUUAGUGUCUCAUGGUGGGAAGCUUAUUGUUUUGGUGGAGGAUGGGCUCGCGGCCUGUCAGCUUGUUGGUGGGGUAAUGGCCUACCAAGGCGUCGACGGGUAGCCGGCAUGGGAGGGGGGCCGGAGAGAGUGAGACGCAGAUACGGCACAGAGUCCUAGGCGAGGCAGCAGCGGGGGGUAUUGGACGAGGGGAGCGAGCAAGGUGCAGCAGCGCGGCGUAGGGGAUGACGGCGUUCGAGUAGUGAACUCCUUUCGUAAGGGACGAAGCCACGCUUCUUGGGUGUGGUGACGGUACCUUUGUUAAGAAGCACCGGCUAACUACGUG
rnacentral:rRNA from 1 species